rnacentral:lncRNA from 1 species
UAUUAUUUCAGUUGUUAUAGCUUAGAUAGUUAUAUGGUUCAGUAUUUUUAUUACAUUUGAAAUUAUGGAUUUUCGUGAAUGUAAUAAACGGAUUUCUGGAUUUUGUAAAAUAAAAGGUUUUCUAUCCCUCGUGGUAGCGUUUUUAAAGAAUAAAGGUUUUCGUGUAGAAAACAGUUUUCGAAAGGUUUUCUGUGGAUUUUGCAUCUUAGUAUUUCAAAACCUGUUUCUGUGGUUGGAAAUAUUUUAACUGAUAGAUGUGGAUUUAUGUUUAAAUAUCGAAUACAUAAAUGUGAACCUGUGAUGUGAAUGGUGUAUGAAUAUAUAAUUGUUGGUUAUUUGUAUGUUCAUUUGGUUGUGGUUGUACCUGGGUUACUUCUUGUACUUGUGUGACGCCGUGCAAAUACAGGGGAGAUUCUGUCCGUGUGAACAGUGGAUUCCCUAUGUUUGUGGCGGAUCUGGCAUACUCUGGGGUCAGGCUUUUCAAAAAAAAAAAAAAAAAAUUUCAGACGCUUUUCCGCUAUGUUUUAAACUAAAUGGGACCCCGGGGCGUGACAACGGCGGGACGGCAGAGGUCGGGGCCGCUGCCAGAGGUGGUGCCCGAGGGUUAUGGUCACCCAGGUAGGUUCCACGGCAGGGAUGGUAGGGAGAGAAGGUUGAAGGGGUGGCCGGGAUUCAUGCUUUCCGGCGGCCGAGGCACCUGCCGGCGGCCGGGGUGCGCGCAAGGUUGGGCAGGGACCUGCUGAAGCUGGUUAGGGCACAGCUGGGAGGCAAGGUCGGCUAGAUCUAGGGUUUCGUGCAAAGAAACCCUAGAUGCUAACUAUAUACAAGAGGACAAUUUGCAGAAAACCCCUCUGACCCAGAAUAUUUAAACCUCAGCCCCUGCCAGGGCGUACAAUUUGCACGUACAUACCUCCACGUCCGAUCUCACGCGAUUCGAUACAUAAAAUGUCGCGCCUUUCGCGAAUUUUCCGAAUUGCCACCUUCGACCUCUUAAUGAAAACUUCGCAAUUACCAGAGAUCCGUUCGUCGGAUUUUCGAUCCGACAGCACCAUUGCGUUCAGCACGUCGGGGGCAUCAAAACUACAAUCUUAUUUCGUCAGAUAUGGUCACGGAUUCGCAACGGAACCCAUCCGCUCUCUAAUUAAUCCAAAUAUCGCACACAUACCAAUGUGUAACCCAAUAAACCAACUUUCACAUAAGAAAUUGACUUCCCUACUACUAGUAGGGACUCGAAACAUUCUUCACCCUACUACAGGUCACAAGCACGGAGUACGAGAAGCUUUAGAAUGCACAGAAAAGCAAAGAGCGGAAACCCUCUUUUCGGUAAAACUCCUUUUUCUCGAAAACCGUGCAUCAGAUCAGAAAUCCGUCAGUGCCAUUGGUUCCAGAAUAGUUGAACCGAUCAAAACGAGCUAUUGGACUGAUAUGAACGGAGUCCGAUACGCACCAGAAGCCAACUCUACCCUGUGGCUUCUCCGGAAAACCGAAGUUACUAUUCACUUAAGUGAAAACUAAAAAUCGCGUAUCUUCUCCAUUUUAGCUCAGUUUCUCCUGAAACUUGACGAGUGCUUAUGUAAUUAAAUUACACACAUAAACAUCAUCAACAGAGAAUUUAGUUGCACUGUCAAAAAUCUCAGUCCUUACAUAAAAGGUUUUCUACCCCUCGUGGUAGCGUUUUAAAGAAAGAUAAAAGUUCCUGUGUAGGAACAGUUUUCAAAAGGUUUUCUAUGGAUUUUGCAUCUUAGUAUUUCAAAACUUGUUUCUGUGGUUGGAAACAUUUUAACUGAUAAAUGUGGAUUUAUGUUUAAAUAUUGAAUGUAAAAAUAUGAACCUGUAGUGAAUGGUGUGAAUAUAUAACUGUGGUUAUUUGUAUGUUCAUCUAAUUGUGGUUGUAUCAUGUUUGAACUCUUGUACUUGUGCGACGCCGUGCAAAUACAGGGGAGACUCUGUCCGUGUGAACAGUGGAUCUCCUGUAUUUGUGGCGGAUCUGGCAUACCCUGAG